AGAGUUUGAUCCUGGCUCAGGAUGAACGCUAGCGGCAGGCUUAACACAUGCAAGUCGAGGGGCAGCAUAAUGGAUAGCAAUAUCUAUGGUGGCGACCGGCGCACGGGUGCGUAACGCGUAUGCAACCUACCUUUAACAGGGGGAUAACACUGAGAAAUUGGUACUAAUACCCCAUAAUAUCAUAGAAGGCAUCUUUUAUGGUUGAAAAUUCCGAUGGUUAGAGAUGGGCAUGCGUUGUAUUAGCUAGUUGGUGGGGUAACGGCUCACCAAGGCGACGAUACAUAGGGGGACUGAGAGGUUAACCCCCCACACUGGUACUGAGACACGGACCAGACUCCUACGGGAGGCAGCAGUGAGGAAUAUUGGUCAAUGGACGCAAGUCUGAACCAGCCAUGCCGCGUGCAGGAAGACGGCUCUAUGAGUUGUAAACUGCUUUUGUACGAGGGUAAACUCACCUACGUGUAGGUGACUGAAAGUAUCGUACGAAUAAGGAUCGGCUAACUCCGUGCCAGCAGCCGCGGUAAUACGGAGGAUUCAAGCGUUAUCCGGAUUUAUUGGGUUUAAAGGGUGCGUAGGCGGUUUGAUAAGUUAGAGGUGAAAUCCCGGGGCUUAACUCCGGAACUGCCUCUAAUACUGUUAGACUAGAGAGUAGUUGCGGUAGGCGGAAUGUAUGGUGUAGCGGUGAAAUGCUUAGAGAUCAUACAGAACACCGAUUGCGAAGGCAGCUUACCAAACUAUAUCUGACGUUGAGGCACGAAAGCGUGGGGAGCAAACAGGAUUAGAUACCCUGGUAGUCCACGCCGUAAACG
rnacentral:rRNA from 1 species